rnacentral:lncRNA from 1 species
UAAUACUUUUAGAAACUUGAAAUUUCUAAAAGUCAUGGAGUAAGUUUUUUUAAAAAAGUGAAAAUCCACAUGAUUCACAGAUGGGUUUUGUGAAUCAGAUAAUCUAUCAUUUAUGGUCUAUCUGUUGCGUCUUGGGAUCUCAUUAAAUAGGCCGGUAGUUUUUGUAUCUAUGCCAGCUUACAGUCUAUCUUACAGGAUAGUCCUGUCCCUGCUGGUCAUUCCCACUGUGAUGUAAUAACCACUUCAGAAGGAGGCAUAAUCAUACAUCAUGGUUUAGCUAAAUCACAGAAGAAGGAAAAGACAAGGAAUCAAAGUUUUCUAUACAUCACAGUGGCCACCAAACUAAAGUAGCAAAAGGAAGAUCUAUAUAUGAAAUUACAAUAAAGGUUGAGCAACUUCAGGUUCACAGCUAUGAAGAUUCUUACUAGCACUUUAUUAUGUUACACUAAUCCAGAAGAAAAAAUGCCAAAAUGCAAAAUGUUCUGUAUUUCUGAAAUCUUUCAGCUUUCUGAUACAGAAAGAAAAUCUGCAAUGCUUUGGAGAAGACUCCUUUUAUGAAAAUAUUGAAAUUUCUGAGCCACAGUUAUAUCCAAACAUUCUCAUAGGAAAAUUUUAGAGUCAAAUUUAAACUUUUGAUCAGUGG